UGGAAAGAAGAUUAAAAUUAUGAAUGAAGAUGUCGAUCUAAUUGAUUUCUUGAGGAACUAGUGACUUCUGAAAAUCUCAUUAGCAUCCUGAUCACAGACACAGAAAAAGAAAGAGGAGGGGGGAUGACUCCUUAAUUCUUCGAUUAUUUUAGUUUAUUUUCUAUGCUGUUUGAAUGUUCUCUGAACUCAAGAUUGCAGGGAUGUCAUUGAACUUUAGCAACUUAACAUCAUGACCCUACCUUCCUCAUAUUUUGCAGCUAUUGUUUCUCUCAUUAUUGCCCAAAUUUUCACG